GGGGCUGGCUCAUAGUUUUCCAUUUUAUAAAAAUAAAUACAGCUUUUUGACUUUGACAGUGAAUAAACUGAUAGUAUUGCUAUUAAAUCUAUUUGGCUACUUAAAUGUCUAUUGAAUUAUAGAAUAGAAUAUUUCAAGUUGGAAGAGACCCUUAAGGAUCAGCAAGUCCAACUGCCAACAAUUGAGCCAUUGACACAACUAAGUUACAAUGAGGCAGACUGCAUAGCUGUUCUGAAAAUAUUUUUGCUAUUUGGUUAUAAUGUGACUGUGUUCUUAUUUCAUAAUUAAAAGGAAAUAGUGCUAGUGGAUCGCUGUAGGAUCGCUGUUUUAUAACUACGGACAUGUUGAUACAUGCCUCUGCAUUAGAAAGUUGCAAAGUUCUGGUUUGAGAUUGCAAAGUAGCCAUAGAAAUAGAAGUUCUGACUCCUCUAGUCUAAUUCCCAUCUGUUAAAUUUCAUUGUCUUUAUGGGCAAAAGUAAGGAUUUGGUACUUGUUUUACACUGUUAAAAAUGCCACACCAACAAAACUAUGAAAGAAGAGAAAACCAGCAUAGGCUUAAACAGAGUUGUUAGUUGCAGUUACAGGGCUACAUUCCAGCCUCUUUUCUGUGUGCUAUCCUACUGGGGUCAGGAGUGACGCAGAUGCAACGAACAAGACAAAAUGUUCCAAGUCCAUUUUUCUUGCACAUAAACUUAGGGCAAUAUGGUGCCUCUUUAUCAUCUGCUUCUUCCAGAAGAGGCACUUGCCUCUGUGCCCACCAGAGGUUAUUCUUUAAAUCGCACCAUGUGACAGCUCCAUCAACACACCAGCCACUGCAGCUUCACAACCAUCUCCAGUCCCCACAUUUGGACUUGUUUCUUUCAAAAAGGAACUUCCUGUGUGUCUUGCCAGCUUCACUAGACUCAUCUUUAACAGCACAUGAUCUUAAAAGUUAGAAAAAGUUUAGCAAAUACAAGGUCAUAUUUCCAAUUACGAAGUUAGAAUCCAGGCUAUAAAAAGGUAGAUAAAACUAGACUAAACUGCAAGACUCCUUCUUAGCAGCUCUGGUUAUCUUGCAGCCAGAAUCCCUAACAGGCUAGACAGCAGCAACAUGCAUUUUCCAUGCUAUUUCAGGAUGAAACUUAAAACGAACCAGAGGGCCUAAGCCCUUGAGGGCUAUUCUCUCUCUAAUGGUAGCCCCCUCCAAACUCACUGUCUUCUCUUUGUUAAAGAUGUUUCUGUCCUGUUUUUAUUUCAUUAUCCCAUUCUAAAGAAAAGAUAGUGCUGCUGCAUUAUCUGAGAAGAAAGGGAGGAAUGUGGUUUUAUGCAGUUAUUAAAGCAUUCCCAGCACUGUUAGAAUCUCCUGCAAGGCAUGUAUCAUAAGGAGUACUCAUUGUAUGUUCCUUUGAUUAGACUUUGAGAUUUGUAUUCUUUAUAUGCUGUGUAUUGCCUAAAGCCACAUUAUUAGCUAGGUUAGAGAUAGAACACUCUGUCCAAACCAUCUCUCUCAUAGCCCAAAUUUGCUAAUCUUAAGGGUUCUUACAGACAUGUAUUUUAUAGACACUUUCAGAAAGUGCAGAAGUUUUCCUUAUUUGAAUAUCUAACAUUUUACAGUUUCUAAUUCUCAAAUUUUAUUUAGAGUGAAAACCUGAUACAAAACACAAACGGUUGAAAUACAAUACUAUGGGGGGUGGGGGAGACAUAGAACCCCAGAAAAAUAAGAUAAAGAAAAUUACUCAUUCCUGUUACAGAAGGUAUGUUUUUCCUAGUGUGUUGUAGUGAAAGCUGGCAUACAUAAGAACAAGACAAAGCUAUAAAGGCUUCAGGGUGUAAUUGCUGAAGCAACAGUACCUACCACUAAAGGAUACUGAGCGUGAAGCUGACAGGACACGUGAAAAUAAACAGGCAUUGUAAUUGUCUGUGCUCUUUUAUGAUUAAUACUGUUUUUAAUGUUAAUAUUUAAUUUGUUCAGCUGUGUUUUCACUGUUUUUAGGUAGAUAAUCAAGUGUAAAUUCAUAGUUCUUAAUAUUCUAGUUUUAAGCUUGGUAAAAAGUUUAUUUGCAGUUGUGCUCUGUUGUUAAGUGCCAUGACGUGGAAAAGCCGAACAAUUUAUAUUUGUGUCUUUCAACUCUUCCAUUUAGUAUGCUGCUACGUAACAGGAAAAUGUUUUCUGAUUACCUGCUCUCUUAACAUUGUAAUCUCUUAAAUACUUCAUUCCUGAAAUAUUUAAACUAUGCAGACCACCCAGAAAGGCUCAGCAGACAAGAAGUUACAAACCAGUGAUUUUCUCUUCAAGUCCUCAUGUUACUAUGUCAAGCAGGGAAUCCUGAGCCCAUGAUAGACAAUAAUGAUGGACCAUACAGCUAAGAUGUUCAAGUCUGACAUCUGGAAAGUCAUGUUCAAUCCUUUGAGGAGGAUAAAGCAAUAAUAUCAGAUCAAAAUACAGUAUAAACUUACAGGCAUCUUCUCUCAUCUCCUGUAAUUCUGUUGCUCAAUUACAGUGUGAAGGCCCUGGCAGAUAAAGCAGUACUUAAUAGUAAUGUUUUUUUUAAAAAGCUCAUAACACUUGUUCAGAUGAAUGUACUGUAGCAUCAAUCACCAUUCAAUUAAUAUAUUUUAUUCAGUAUAAACUACUCAGCAUGCAAGAACUAUAAUAAAAGGUUAUGAAAUUAAUUGCAGAAAAAGGUGUUAGAAGCUCACCCAUUGGGGACCUACUACAAAUACAACACGUGCCUGUAAGAACAGAAAUAGGAAAAGAAAAUCCUGAAUUAUGUGUAGCGAGUAUAAUAUGUGUGUUGCUGUUGGCUGUAAAAGAUGAUCCUAAGUGUAAACAACAUGCCUUCAGAAUCUUCAAGAGAGAAAAUAAACAAAAAGGCCAAGGCCAACAAUUCAA